UAUGGGCUAACCUAAGGGCCUAUGGAACAUGGGCUAAUACAGUGGACUACAUCAAAUACAAUAUACUAACAAAUUCUUGAUAUUGGUCACAACGAAGGAAGAAUGAAAUUCAAUUGUGGUAGCUUUCGGUAUUGGGUAUUAACCAUGAUGAAUAUUGAGAUUGAUAGAGAAAAUGGAAGGGAGACAAAUAGAAGAAGAGAAGAAGAUGGUGUGUAGAUGAGACAUGAAGAAUUAAUUAAGAAGAUAGGACUAUGUCAUUUUAGGGCCCUGAUGCGAUAAUAUAUGGUUUAUACAGUUCAAAUUAAGAAGUUUUCGAUGCAAUCAUUAUUAUAUCUUUGUGGGUAUUUUGGAAUUUUCAGAAUAACUUACUUCUUGGAAUGGUAAACUAAAGAAGCCUGGCUUAUUUGACAAAAGAAUAACCACGUUUCCUACUUUUUAACCAAAGUAAAGCAUGAUCAAUAACAUAAUCCAAGAUUGGCUCCUUCUUAAUCCAAGAUGGACUCCUUCUUGAAACUCUAAUCGCCAAACAGAAGGUUAUUCUAUAUCCCCAGAUAAUCCACCUGCUCGUUUGCAUCACCACUUCGAGAAUCUCCUUUUUCUUCACAUUGAUCGUAUUUUUGUAUGUACAAUAGGAGCAAAAGUAUAAAGUUAAAUUGGUUGGUUGACUGUAUAACCCAAGUCUAGUUAUCUCUGGUGUUGUAAUACGUAUUUGUUCCUUUUCUAGUGUCUCACUAGUAUUUAAUAGUGUCCACCACCCCUGUUAAAAUAUAGUUCUAGACCACAAUUUCAUGUGGUAUUGAAUUAGUUAAGGAGAUUUAUGGUUAACAUGUUUGAAGAUCCAUAUUCGGUUAGACUAAAAAAUAAUUUACAAAGAACCAUCGUGCUUUUCUUUUCAUUUUUUCAUGAAAAAAACAUUUUAUGUGAUCAUUAAGUGUAACUGAUGUACUUCCUUUAACA